GGGUUAGUAAGUUGGUCAUGCCUUCGGUAUAUACUGGCUUUACUGAUUCCUCCUUCUUGAUGAACCGUGAUGUCAUUAAUUUGGUAUUUCAGGAAAUCAGGACUGUUACUUUGAAAAAAUUAGAAUGUUUAAAGCAGGCUAACGCUUGAAUACAUUAGCAUAGAAUAAUGAAAUAGGAUAUUAAUCCUAUUUUGUUGGUUUCUAGGAUCGAUGUAAUGAUUA
rnacentral:rRNA from 1 species